rnacentral:rRNA from 1 species
UACGUAGGGGGCAAGCGUUGUCCGGAUUUAUUGGGCGUAAAGAGCGUGUAGGCGGCCAGACAGGUCUGCUGUGAAAACUCGAGGCUCAACCUCGAGACGCCGGUGGAAACCGUCUGGCUAGAGUCCGGAAGAGGAGAGUGGAAUUCCUGGUGUAGCGGUGAAAUGCGCAGAUAUCGGGAGGAACACCAGUGGCGAAGGCGGCUCUCUAGGCAGAUACUGACGCUGAGACGCGAAAGCAUGAGGAGCAAACAGG